rnacentral:rRNA from 1 species
UACGGGGGGGGCAAGCGUUGUUCGGAAUUACUGGGCGUAAAGGGCUCGUAGGCGGCCAACUAAGUCAGACGUGAAAUCCCUCGGCUUAACCGGGGAACUGCGUCUGAUACUGGAUGGCUAGAGUUUGGGAGAGGGAUGUAGAAUUCCAGGUGUAGCGGUGAAAUGCGUAGAUAUCUGGAGGAAUACCGGUGGCGAAGGCGGCAUCCUGGACCAUUACUGACGCUGAGGCGCGAAAGCUAGGGGAGCAACGGG